rfam:Volvox carteri f. nagariensis unplaced genomic scaffold VOLCAscaffold_47, whole genome shotgun sequence.
GUCGUCAUCGUAUAGUGGUCAGUAUCCCCGCCUGUCAUACUAACGGUACGCGGGAGGCCGGGGUUCGAUUCCCCGUGACGGCG